UGUAACAAUAAGUAACUGACAUAUUGAUCAUCGUCUUUCCCACUCACUGCAGGUGUCAUCUCCCUGCUGGAGGACCUUUUCUAUCUUCAGGCUGAUUCUGAUGCUGUUCCUCUGUGCUCCCAGAGCAUCCCAGCCUCUGCACUGACACUUAUUACAGCACAGCAAUGGUGGCUUAUUUGUCUUCUUUUGGAUAUGUGGGAUUCUUGAGAGUAAUGAACUGUCUUCACAGAAUCCCCAGUAUCUGCCAAGGUGCCUGGGCAAUGAUGUCAAAUAUUAUGUCCCAGCAACAAGAAGAGUGGUGAAGACAGGUACCCUGCAUGGAUCGCACCAGGGUUGACAGACAGUAGGCAGGGUCUGCCUGGAUUUCAUGUAGGAGCCAAGAAGCACCAUUCAGCUUAGCACAGGGAAAGAAAAUAAUUGCUCUGCUUGUUCUCUAUUGAGUCCAACUCAUUUAAUGAAACAACAACUCAGUAAUAAGAAAGUAGAGCCUGUAACCUCCAUCUAGAUGGUCUGAGAUGUGCAAUACAAUUUGGUGGUAGCACUGGGAGCAAGAUUUUUUCACUUAGAAGUUCUUAUACAUUAGGAAACCCAGCCCUGGAGAGGCAGCCUUUUAAUUAUCCCUUCUUUUAGUUUUACCCCCUAUGCUUUGGCUAUCCAUCAUCUUGAAAAAUAGAUGCCAUAACACCAGGAUGAAUUCCUCUGCCACUUUUAGCAAAGAACUGAACACAUGGACGUGAUAGACAUAGGAAUUAUUUGGCAAAGACUGAAGCCAAGGAGUGAGAAAGAAACAGCCGCACCAGGAGAUGGACCCUACCACAGGGAGAUUCCCACCCAUUUCGUUCAGCACUUCCAGAUGGGCGAGAGCAGGUGGGCAAACUCAGGAAGCACUUGCAGGGGCUCCUGUGGACCCUGAAAGGCUGGAGUAAGCAGAGGAAGAAGGAAGGAAGAGGAGCAGUGGGGAUCU